CCCCAAAAAACUCAAAAGCCGAAAUCCACACAGAGAGAGAGAGAGGCAGCUGCCACCACCGCCACCACCGGAACCCUAAAAACGCGCCGGUUUCAAUGGCCGAGUCGACUCAGCUCCAGCAGGCGCAACUCGCGACGAUUCUCGCUCCCGACCCGGCCCCUUUCGAAACCCUACUCUCCCACCUGAUGGCCUCCGUCAACGAGCAGCGAUCCCAGGCCGAGCUCAACCUCUGCAAGCAGACCGAUCCUGAUUCGCUCUAACGCUGAUUUCGGGUUUCGGUGUUGCAGGAGAAGGAUUUUAGAUUAUCCGAGGGAGAAAGAUGGAGCAAGAAUUCAGAUGAGACUUCAGAUGGACUUCAGAUUAUUUAAUGUUCUGCAGUCUCUCUGUUUUCUCUUUUUAUUCAGAUUGUGAUAAGAAAUAUCCACUGCAAGUAGAGCAAAUAUCAGGAACUGUCAGCUGUUGUAUUCUGUAACCAGUUUGGAUCCAGGUAUAUGACUAUUUCAUUUCGUUUUGGAAAGUGGAAUUGAAGGUCAGGAAAGUUUCCAUGAAUAUUGAAUUUUCAUAUUUGAUGUCUAAAUGCAUGUAGUUGAUGUUUUAAGGGUGCCGAUCACUCUUGAUUGGUAUUAAUUAAUCUGCAUAUCAUAUGACAUUUCUAUAUUAGUCUGUUAUUUGGAGGCAUACAUGGUGGAAUUGGAAGCUCAGGUGAAGUGCCCUUGAAGGGGACAAUGAAAUGCUGAAGCAAAACAAUGGUACUAGACUAGAAAUUUCUUUUUUGAUAGUCAAUAGAACUUGCGUAUGUUCAUCACUACAUUCUUAUUUUCUCAUGAUUAUUAACUUAUGUGUUUUUGAUUAUUAACUUAUGUGUGUAGGUUCUUAGUUUUGUCAUCAUUUCGAGGAGUUUAAGCAACACGCUCAAUUGAAAGAUUUUACUCUGGUUUAUUAAUGGAUUAUUAGUCUUUUUAUUCCGUUACUAAGUGAAUUACUGAUUGCCUAUAGUUGAUUAGAUUUUAAGCUGUUUCUCUUUUGUCAGUUGUAGUCUUAUUUGGCUUUCAUUUGUCCUUAUUAAUUUCAUAUUUUUCUUGCAUAUUAUGAUACAAAUUUCAAAUUCUUGUUUUUUUUCUUUUUCUAUGUCUUAUGCAGUUCACAAUUUUUUUUUCUUUUUAGGUUGCAAUAUAACAUGAGGUGAAGCAAGCAAAUUUCUCUGCAACAAGUAUGACGAUAUAUCUUUCCCAACCUGUUCCAUCAUCUUAGCUACUUCUUUGUCCUUUCCCAAACUCUAACUACAUGUUACCUGUGUCUUGAACAAUUCUAAAGUCUGCUACCAUGUACAAUAAUCUUUUGUUGUGAAUUGCAUUUUGUAUAUAAACUAAGUAUACAGAAUUCAAAAACCCGCAGCAAAGCGCGGGCCUAAUUUCUAGUAUAUAUAUACUCGAGAUCGAAGCUGCUCACUGGUCUGUAGAGCGGCAAUGUACACCGAUGAGUUUUAGGCAAACAAAAAUCAAUAUGGACACUAGAAGGGAUUGUGAUCUUCUCCUCAUUUUGCCUGAUUGGUUAUUUUGGCUAUCUACAGCCAUGAUUCCCCUGCAUUUUAAAGUGUAAGAGUCAAGAGGAGUUUAAAAUAGAAAAUGGAGCCCAAAAAAGGAAAUGAAAAUAAAAAUUAAAAGUAAAUUCAUUUUAAACAAGGAAAAUGCCCAUGUA